UCGGAAGGACGACAAGAUCCUCGACACCACAAUCCAGGAGUCCUCCGCCGACACGAGCCGGGACUGCAUCAACAACAGGCUCCGCCUCGCCAAGGAGUAGGUUAUAUUACUAUUUCAAUUUGCUACUCAUUCUGAUCCAACGAAACUAAACCAGUGGGAUUGAAGUUGUCGUUCAUGUCAGACUCACAACUCGGCUUAGGAUUUGGCUGCGACUAUGACCGAUCCACCGUCACUGAGGUAGGAUUUCUGACUAAGACUGAUGCACCGUCAGGAAGGCUAUGUCUACUAUGGAGCUCUAUGAAUCGGCUUAUUGGUUAUCUUGGCAUACUUGGGAGGGAUUUCUUACAUUACUAUCAUCACUUUUCACCUUGCUCUUUGGGAUGAUGUUCCAGUUUGACUUCUUCCUGAAUAACAGCUUCAGAAUCUUAUUCCUCCUAUUUUUCCUCUUCCAACUGAACAUGGCGCUCUCGCAACCCCGCUAUCCCCAACCAAGGAUCCUCUUGGGAGAUCGUGGUGCCAUUCAAAAUUUCUACUUUGAGCGUUGCUUCCAGGUGACACAAACCACUGAUAGUUGUUUGCUUCCUCUUAUCUGCGUAUCGUGGGAUAUGAGGAUUGUGCCCUUUUGCUGUGGUAUUGGACAUAUGAAUCAAGCGUCUGGUGCAAUGGUUGUAUGCAACUGCUUUUGCUUCAUGUUGCUAUCAGCUGCUUAGUUCUGUAGUUUCUUUCGUCCUGUGGUGUGCUUCCUCAGAAAAAAGAUUUGUGUAUAUAUUUCUGAUUUACUACUGGUUUGUUCCGCUCUUAUUAUCAGUGCUAUGUGCAGUAAUUCCCCGAUAUUUAUUAUGGAUCGGAGGGAGUAUUAGUUGUUCUGCCACAUUCUGUUAUUUUUCCCGUUCUGGUAACAUGUGUUUAAGUAUAGCUUAGUCCUACUGGCUUUGCUUUUCAAAUCCAAUAAAAUGUAUUUCCAUUUACGCUUAGAUUGGUGCGAUCUCCACGGGAUCGUGCGUCUACCUUUGUGGCCUAGGUGUCAAAAUCUAGUAUAGUUGAGACGAGCAUAGCUAUUGGGCUUUAAAAUCACUAGCUUCCUAGCAUAUUCUUCUUUACAUAUCAUUUCUUUUGAGCAGUGCAUAUCUGAGUAUCUCAUUUCAUUGUGAAGUAAAGUUUGUGU